ensembl:lncRNA
GUUUAUUCUGGACAGGGCCUAACUAUACUAGCUCAAUAAGAAAAUGCCCUAGAGAUAUUCCUUAUUGCGGCAGUGGUUAAGGUGUUUGCCCUUGGUGCUGAUGGCCUAGACUUGGUAGACCUGCUAGGGGAGUCACCCUACUCUAUAGGUCUUCACGGAUCCACCUGUGUCCCGUGGUCUGGGCCGGUUCUGAUAUGAUUAUCUCGGACGAAUACAUUUCCAGACCUGGACUAAGGGAUGGCUAACCCUGGAGAUCCCUUCAAUCUCCACCAAGUUAGGUAAAUCUACUUUUAGUUUUUUGUCACCUCUCAUGGGAAAUUAUCUCCAAAACUCCUUAAACUUGGUGGAGUUGGUGCCUCUGCGGAAGGUGUUCCCAAACUUUUUUGGCCCACAACCCCAUUUGAAAUCAGAAAAUUCUCACGGCCCCAACCAUGUGAAUAAGAUGAUGUAAUUAACAGCCAGUGUUUACUUUUUUAUUUGGGGCUAUGGCAGUCAAUUGAAAAACAGUAUUACUGAUUUUCUUCUCAACUUACCAUCACAUACUUUGAAUGUGGGGCUAUGACAAUCAAUUGCAAAUUAGUCUGACAUAAUGUAUCUUAUCUCACCACAUUACUCAGGGGCGUUGUCAACAGUGCGCACCUCAUCUCUGCUGUAACAUCUAAACUGGAUUGAUAUUUGGUUUUAUUGCAGGUAAAAGCGCUGAAUCCAGCUUUAAUCGUGCUUUCAAAACAACUGGAAACUCUGAAAAAGGUGAGGUCAAAUCAUAAGGUCAGUGAUCUUCAUGUCGGAAAUUCUGAGCUCUAGAAAGAGGCCCAGAGUUCCCGAGUUGGAUUACCAUUCAAAAAUAUUUUUGAGCUCGUUUUUUUCUGAGUUGCCAGUUGUCUUGUACGCACUGAAGUCGAACGCCGGAGAUUUCCGAGUCCACAGUUGUUUUGAACGUGGUAUUAAUGCUCAGAGGCAGUGUAGGUUAUUCCCAUUGAGUCAGGAGACAAAAUUAAUCAGUAGUGACCUGUGAAUGCAU